UUUCGGUUCUUCCUCAUUUUCUCUUGCUGCCGCAAUGUAAGAAGAGCCAUACGCCUCCCGCCAUGAUUCUGAGACCUCCACAGCGAUGUGGAACUUGCCGAAUAAUAUUUCAUUUUCUGGAUAUACCUCACUUUAUCUACUUGCUACAGAAGGGCAUCCUGCUUACUUUAAAGUUUUGGCAAUUAGGAAUAAAGCUGCUAUAAGCAUCCAGGGAAGUUUUGUGGCCUUGAGGAAGAUGAAGUCAGCAAUGAGAUGAACCUACAGAAACCUUUCUCCUCAUCUUACUAGGACCUUCUAUAGCAUAAGACAAAGAAGAAUACAUGUUUAAAAGAAAUGCAACACAUGGGUGCUGCCUGCAAAUCAGAAAGAAGAUAAAGCCAAUUCACAAAGGAGCACCAGUGCCUUAGAAAGCUGUUUGCUAGAAAGCUCUUCAAUAACUAGACUUUUCUAUAUUGAACCUGUAGACAAUGAGAUAAGACAACAGAAUUUUGAUGUGCCAAGGAAGUACAACAACCUCACUGUAGGCUGUUAUGAUAAUGUGUACUUACCUCUUCUUAAUUCUUUCUCACUAUAGAGUGAUAGCAGAAAAGAGAGGAAGAUACCUGGAAGAUAUACCUAAGAAAUACUUGGGAAGUAUAUGGAAAUGGGUACUUUUUCUCCUCUUUGAACAAUCAAUUCAUUCAAAACUCCAGUGUUAUCCUGAGCUACUAGGAGAAGCGUUAAAAAUAAACCUGAUUUGAUCUUAAAAAACAAGCAAAUAAAAACAGACAAUGGGACACUUUUUCUUAAUAAUAAUUGAGACUUACCCUAUGGAAAAUGUAGAUUUUAAUACAUUAAAUUUGUUAGCAGGUAUAGUUGAUUAGAUAGAUCAACAGAUAGAUAAAGAUAAAUAUUUUUUAUGCACCAUAAAUGCACGCAAACAUAUACACAUGCAUAUUUGGGAUAUCACAGCAAUAGUAUGCAUCUUAGUCUAGUUUGGGCUGCUAUAACAAAAUAUGUGGGACAGGGUAAUUUAUGAAGAACAGAAAUUUAUUUCUCAUAGUUCUGGAGGCUGGGCAGUUUAGAAUCAAGGCUCCAGCAUUUGUUGUCUGGUGAGGGCUGCUGUCUGCUUCUAAGAUGGUGCUUUGUUGCUGUGUCCUAACAUGGCCAAAGGCAGAAAAGCAAAAAGGGCCUAGCUAGUUCCCUCCAGCCCUUAUAUAAGGCCUCUCAUGCCAUUAAUGAGGGUUCUGCUCUCAUGACAUAAUCACCUCUUAAAAGCCCUGUCUCUUAAUACUGUUACCUUGAGGAUUAAGUUUUAACAUGAAUUUUGGGAGCACAUUCAACCAUAGCAGUGUGAGAGGGAAGGUUAAAUGUCUUAGUUAAUGUUGAUUUCUGUAACAAAUAAAAUCUUUAAAAUAAUAAUAAGUGUUCAUUUAGUAUCACUUAAAUUCAAAAAGCGUGUUUCUAUCUUCAAAUCAG
rnacentral:lncRNA from 10 species